ensembl:lncRNA
UUGGAUCUCAGCAAAAUGCCCUAGAGAGGGACUAUGGCUUCUACUUGCAUUUCUAAAAGUUGUGAGUUAGAGUUCACCAGCAAUAAAAAUUCAGUGGCAUUAACUUGUUUGCUGUCCCCUCAUGGGGAGGAUUGUAUUUAGCAGUUUUAGUAAUAUCAGAAUAACCCCCUGAAGUGCAAGAGGCAACAGGAAAAGGAUGCCCCUCAGCCCUGGGGUAGCAGUCUAGCUAUUGGAGGGGAAAGAGUGGAAUGUCUUCAGAUCUUACCAUUGCCAUCACAUCUAGAGAAAUAGCUAAGUAGGAAAGGGGAAAGCCCUUACAGAUGAACCAUACACUGUUCCACCUGAAGGUAGAAUUUUAAAAGGGGGAGGGGUUCUAAUAGCCAAAGUAGCAAAGGAAGUCUUGAGCCCCAUAUUGUUGACAGCCCCCAUCUCUCCCUCCCUUUCAUCCUCUUUCCCUUCCUCUCCCUCUCUUCUCUGUCUCUUUGUCUCUUUCUCUCUCUGGCUCUCUCUCUGUCUCUGGCUCUCUCUUCCUCCCUGUCUUCCUCUCUCUCUCUCCUCCUCUGUCUCUGUCUCUGUCUCUCUCCCCCUCUCUUCUCUGUCUCUGUCUGCCUGUCUGUCUGUCUAUCUCUCUAUCUCUCUGUCUCUGUCUCUCCUCUGUCUCUCUCUGUCUUUCUGUCUGUCUAUCUGUCUCUCUCUCUCCCUCCUCCAAUUGUCACACACCAGCCUUAUUGCAAGUAUAGCCUCUGUCUCUCUGUCUCUCCUUUCCCUCUCCUCCUCCUCUUCCCUCCCCUUUCCCUUCUCUCCCCAACCCACAUACUCAUUUUUGAUGAUAUCUGUGGGAUAGUGAUAGAGAAAAAAAAAACAAUUAUAUCCUCUGUUGCCAAAGCUCCAAGCAACCUGCAUUCAACUAAAGGAAAACAAUCUUGACUAAAGGGACCACUUCAAGGGAUUAAUCUGGAAUCAUAACAGCUGACAGCAAGGUUUAGGAAACAUUGAAUAGAGCACCAGUCUUGGAGUCAGCAAGAUCUGAUUUCAAAUCCAACCUCAGAUUUUUAGUAGGUAUAUACCAGCUCUAAAUCAAGUAUCCUAUGAUUUUACUCCCGAAAUUCCUGUAUCUCUUUUGCUAUUUUGCAUCCUAUUUUGGGGUCUACAGCCCCUUAUACUGCUUCUCAUCCCCACUGUCUCUUGCCUCUUGCCAACCCUGCCCCCAUUUCUUUUGGAUCUCUUGCUUCCAAUUGUGGAAACCACCAGCAGGAGCUUGAUGAUAGAGAGAUAUUUUCUUCCACUUUUGGGCAGGUGGGAGAAGUGGAGCGUAAUCAAUCCCCUAUUUACUUGUGCAUUUCUCUUAACAGGUAUAUUAGUUUCCAAGUAUAGAAUACAUUGCCUUUUUUUCUUCAGGAAUACAGUAGUCAUUCACUCCAUCAUACACAUCUAUUGAAGGAGCCUGUCUUCAAGGCAUAUCUAAGAGUCUUUGCCAUUAAGAGAGAAAAUUGAUCUUAAAGCUGACGGUUGUUGGAUAAAUGUCAACUUACACUGCCGCAGAAAUGAGGGCAAGCUAUCUCUUUCUAUGGAAGGCAAAUUGGCUUUCUUCCACCCAGGGAUCUAAUGUCGCUGAAGUGCUUUUUUUGAGCCAAGGCUUUGGAAAGAAAAAGAAAGAUUAGCCACCAAGGAGAACUCAACAGAAUAACCUCCAAUAGUCACUCAUUAGGAUAUACAAGAGAAACCAUGGCAACGAAUGUCAGUGGACACUUUGAGAUGCUAUUUUUUUACAAUAAUAUUUUCUUUUACCCAGUUAUAUAUAAAACAUUUUAAUAUUCAUUUUUUAAAAUGUUGAACUCUAAAUAUUCUAGCUCUCUCCCUCACUGCCAUCGAGAAGCAAGUAAUGUAACAUAGCUUACCCACAUAGCAUGCAAAAUAUAUUUCUAUAUUAGUUGGGUUGUAAAAGAAAACAGACCAAAAAAAAAAACCAACAAAAAAUAAAGUAAAAAAAGUUUGAUUUAAUCUGCA